UACAGAGGGUGCAAGCGUUAAUCGGAAUUACUGGGCGUAAAGCGUGCGCAGGCGGUUGUGCAAGACAGAUGUGAAAUCCCCGGGCUCAACCUGGGAAUUGCAUUUGUGACUGCACGGCUAGAGUGUGUCAGAGGGGGGUAGAAUUCCACGUGUAGCAGUGAAAUGCGUAGAGAUGUGGAGGAAUACCGAUGGCGAAGGCAGCCCCCUGGGAUAACACUGACGCUCAUGCACGAAAGCGUGGGAGCAAACAGG
rnacentral:rRNA from 1 species